rnacentral:lncRNA from 10 species
CCGCAAGCGCCGCGCAGCCCGGGUUCCCGCCGGCGCCUCUCCCUCGGCGCCUCUCCCUCCACACCUCCCCGCAAGGUGAGGGAGCCGGCUCCGGCCUUGGCCAGCCCAGAAAGGGGCUCCCACAGUGCAGCGGUGGGCUGAAGGGCUCCUCAAGCGCGGCCAGAGUGGGCGCCAAGGCGGAGGAGGCCCGGAGAGCGAGCGUGGGCUGUGAGGUCGGCCAACACGCUGUCACCUCUCAGUAUCUUCUUAAAGAGGCUUACAAUAGUGGAAUAUGUUGAAUACUGAAGAGACUGAUUCACCUUGCUCUAAAGACCUGUGGUAGACAAACAUAUUUAAUGUAAGAUCUUUGCAUGGAUGUGUUCUUCAUUUAUCAUGGUACAUUCCUAGGAGUGGAAUUGCUGUGUCAU